rnacentral:rRNA from 1 species
GUCCAUGGCCAUGCCACUCUGAACAAGCCUAAUGUCUAAUCUCGGAAGCUAAGCAGGGUCAAGACUGGUUAGUACUUGGAUGGGAGACCACCUAGGAAGACCAGGUGCUGUAGGCA